UCGAACGGGCACCUUCGGGUGUCAGUGGCAGACGGGUGAGUAACACGUGGGAACGUGCCCUUCGGUUCGGAAUAACUCAGGGGAACUUGAGCUAAUACCGGAUACGCCCUUAUGGGGAAAGGUUUACCGCCGAAGGAUCGGCCCGCGUCUGAUUAGCUAGUUGGUGGGGUAACGGCCUACCAAGGCGACGAUCAGUAGCUGGUCUGAGAGGAUGAUCAGCCACACUGGGACUGAGACACGGCCCAG
rnacentral:rRNA from 1 species